GCUCCUACCGAUUGGAUGACUCGGUGAAAUCACCGGAUGCUUACGAGCAGAAAGUGAUUAAAUCACGUUAUCUAGAGGAAGGAGAAGUCGUAACAAGGUAACG
rnacentral:rRNA from 5 species